AUAAGCUUCUCACUGAUGAAGGCCAGGUUUUCCCUCCUCCUGGGCAGCCUUGAGCCUCUUCUCUUCUCAGCAGCCUGGGGGUGUGUGGGGGUGUUUGGCUGCGAAGUACUUUGCGCGGAGAAGUCACUAAGAUGGUCUUAAAGGCCACAUACACUGUGGAGGGUGGAGAAGGGACCUGGGUUAGGAGAGAAAGGGACGGAGGCAGCUGUGUUCUCAGGAGGAGAACCCGGAGCUCUGUGGCCACACGGUACCGCCAGCACCUGGUUUCUGAAGAGGAGGAGCAGGGUUCUGAUGACCUCCGAGCAGUCAGCUUGUCUUUUCCGCACCGACACUGUGCCUGACUUCUCGAUCUGGAAGCCUCUGAUUGGCUGGGCUGGUUUGGAUCACAUGUCCUUGGUUGAACCAAUCGCUGAACCAUCGUCCAAGUAGGACCUCAAUUAUUUUCAACUGCCUGACAUGCCUUCCACCUUGGGAACUAAAGGGGAAAGCCACUUUCUUCUCCCUGGGGUUGCUGAGAUGCUGGCAUGUCACUCUGAAGGUGCUGGGGAACAUUUUCAUCUUCUCAUGAGAAGAGUAUCUUAGACCAAACACAACUCAGAGAAAAGCAGAGGCAAGAGAUGGAGCAAAUCAAAUCUGGCACCACUUACACACCUGGAUCAAGCUAUGCCUGAAGCUGAUGGCUCUACCCGGAACUUUUCAUUGAUGUGAGUUGCACUACAAGCCCAAAGAGUCCUGAAAAUUCA